UGGGGAAUUUUGGACAAUGGGCGAAAGCCUGAUCCAGCAAUGCCGCGUGUGUGAAGAAGGCCUUCAGGUUGUAAAGCACUUUUGUCCGGAAAGAAAUCCUUGGCUCUAAUACAGUCGGGGGAUGACGGUACCGGAAGAAUAAGCACCGGCUAACUACGUGCCAGCAGCCGCGGUAAUACGUAGGGUGCAAGCGUUAAUCGGAAUUACUGGGCGUAAAGCGUGCGCAGGCGGUUUGCUAAGACCGAUGUGAAAUCCCCGGGCUCAACCUGGGAACUGCAUUGGUGACUGGCAGGCUAGAGUAUGGCAGAGGGGGGUAGAAUUCCACGUGUAGCAGUGAAAUGCGUAGAGAUGUGGAGGAAUACCGAUGGCGAAGGCAGCCCCCUGGGCCAAUACUGACGCUCAUGCACGAAAGCGUGGGGAGCAAACAGGAUUAGAUACCCUGGUAGUCCACGCCCUAAACGAUGUCAACUAGUUGUUGGGGAUUCAUUUCCUUAGUAACGUAGCUAACGCGUGAAGUUGACCGCCUGGGGAGUACGGUCGCAAGAUUAAACUUAAUGAAUUGACGGGGUCAUAGCUGUUUCCU
rnacentral:rRNA from 1 species